rnacentral:rRNA from 1 species
UACGUAGGGACCAAGCGUUGUUCGGAUUUACUGGGCGUAAAGGGCGCGUAGGCGGCAAAUUAAGUCAUCUGUGAAACCUCCGAGCUUAACUCGGAACGGUCAGGUGAUACUGAUCUGCUAGAGUGCGGAAGGGGCAAUCGGAAUUCUUGGUGUAGCGGUGAAAUGCGUAGAUAUCAAGAGGAACACCUGAGGUGAAGACGGGUUGCUGGGCCGACACUGACGCUGACAGCGCGAAAGCCAGGGGAGCAAACGGG